rnacentral:rRNA from 1 species
AACGAACGCUGGCGGCAUGCCUAACACAUGCAAGCCGAACGAGAUCUUCGGGUCUAGUGGCGCACGGGUGCGUAACGCGUGGGAAUCUGCCCUUUGGUUCGGAACAACAGUUGGAAACGACUGCUAAUACCGGAUGAUGACGAAAGUCCAAAGAUUUAUCGCCAGAGGAUGAGCCCGCGUAGGAUUAGCUAGUUGGUGUGGUAAAGGCGCACCAAGGCGACGAUCCUUAGCUGGUCUGAGAGGAUGAUCAGCCACACUGGGACUGAGACACGGCCCAGACUCCUACGGGAGGCAGCAGUGGGGAAUAUUGGACAAUGGGCGAAAGCCUGAUCCAGCAAUGCCGCGUGAGUGAUGAAGGCCUUAGGGUUGUAAAGCUCUUUUACCCGGGAUGAUAAUGACUGUACCGGGAGAAUAAGCUCCGGCUAACUCCGUGCCAGCCGCCGCCGUAACAC